rnacentral:rRNA from 1 species
GUACAUGCCUACAGCAUAGCGUUAAUGCAUUGGAUCCCAUUAGAACUUCGCAGUUAAGCGUGCUCAUGCUAGAGUAGUAAUGGGUGUUGAUAUUAUGGUAGUUGUGGGAGGUAUUUACC